UACGUAGGGUGCGAGCGUUAAUCGGAAUUACUGGGCGUAAAGUGUGCGCAGGCGGCCGCGCAAGUCGAGUGUGAAAUCCCCGAGCUUAACUUGGGAAUUGCGCUCGAAACUACGUGGCUGGAGUGUGGCAGAGGAAGGUGGAAUUCCACGUGUAGCGGUGAAAUGCGUAGAUAUGACAUAGAACACCAAUUGCGAAGGCAGCUCACUACGGGGUCAUUGACACUGAGGCACGAAAGCGUGGGGAUCAAACAGG
rnacentral:rRNA from 1 species